ACGAACGCUGGCGGCGUGCUUAACACAUGCCAGUCGAACGAUGAAGCCCAGCUUGCUGGGUGGAAGAGUGGCGAACGGGUGAGUAACACGUGAGUAACCUGCCCUGAACUCUGGGAUAAGCACUGGAAACGGUGUCUAAUACUGGAUACGACCUAUCACCGCAUGGUGUGUGGGUGGAAAGAUUUAUCGGUUCUGGAUGGACUCGCGGCCUAUCAGCUAGAUGGUGAGGUAAUGGCUCACCAUGGCGACGACGGGUAGCCGGCCUGAGAGGGUGACCGGCCACACUGGGACUGAGACACGGCCCAGACUCCUACGGGAGGCAGCAGUGGGGAAUAUUGCACAAUGGGCGCAAGCCUGAUGCAGCAACGCCGCGUGAGGGAUGACGGCCUUCGGGUUGUAAACCUCUUUUAGUAGGGAAGAAGCGAAAGUGACGGUACCUGCAGAAAAAGCACCGGCUAACUACGUG
rnacentral:rRNA from 1 species